UGCCCUCGGACAAAUGCCUCUAGACAUCAUGACUAGGCACGGCAAGGUGCAAUAACUGCACCCCGCAUCGUACAAACUCAGACUCGUCAUCUUGUAUUUCUUCACAGGGC